AUCUGCUUCCGAACCAAGAUGGACCACAGUUCCACCAUGCAAGAUGAGAAGGAAGAGGAGGAGGAGGAAGAGAAAGAUUUUUAUACUAAGGGCCACAAGAGCAAGCACCAAUUCUUCCAUGCUUAGAACCACCAGACGCAUUGAAUUGAACACGUGCAACUACCCUGUGAGGUCAUACUGAACAAAUUAUGAAUGACGGAUGAACGAGGAAGUGACCAUUCCUUGAGCCCCAGAGAGACUCAAACACAAGGCCAGUUAGCUGAACAAUGCCGCCCCAUUUGGGAUGAAGCAGACCCAGCUUACUGAGUUGGGGCUGCUGGACAUUUACAGAAAAAACCUUAGCCUUGUCUGAUUUUUCUCCAUGCUUUCCCAAGACAGAGCCAUUUCCAAUUUAAAAAGCGUCAAAAACAUGAGGCAGUGAGGGAGAAGAAAGAAGCACCUUGAUAUCCACACAGAAGUUUUCAGUAUUAUUAGUGCUAAGUGUUACAAACGCUCAUUUUUCCUUCGUCAUCACCAUUAGCUAACCUUAGUAGAGUGCUAGUUAUUCACAUGAGGUUUGAGGGAGUGGGUGGUGAUGAGGCAGGAAGGGAGCUGGCGACCCAAGAAACACAAUGGGAAAUUAACACUGGGACGAUGUUAUUACGGCAAUUGCCGAGUCGUAAGUAGGCUAAGCAAAUAGAAAGUUGGUCAAGUCUGAGGUUUUCUAGAACUUUCUUCCGCCUAGACUUUAGUCAAGAAAAGGGGAAUAUCUAAGCUUAAAGAUAAAAGCGAUAGGAGAAAAGAUGAACACAUUCAGACAAGCAGACACUACUAGUUCACAGCCUUGAAAGAAAUUAUUCCUUUGACACCAGAUAUGGAAAAUUCUCUAUGCCUCAUAGAGGGAAGGAGGGGAUUUAGUGGGGGAACUAAAUACACGGGGAAACAAAUACAGAUAAAAAAGAAGCCUCCGUCCCUGCCUUCAGGGAGUCCAUCGUCUAAUGAGAGGUUAAAACCAGUAGGACUGUAAUCGUCCUUAUAAACCUGAGUGAAAACCCAACCGACAAUGUGUACAAUGAACCCCAGAGACUCAAUCAGUUCCUAUUACUGUGAAAUCUCAGGUUAACCAAAGAUUCCCAGCCAGUGACGCACUGACUGUAAGCAAUAUUUGAAACAAUAAAACCUCCUGUAACAGGAAAAGAA